CUACGGGUUGCAGCAGCAGGGAAUAUUGCACAAUGGACGGAAGUCUGAUGCAGCGACGCCGCGUGGAUGAUGAAGGCCCUCGGGUUGUAAAAUCCUUUUCAGGGGGACGAGGAAGGACGGUACCCUUGGAAUAAGCGUCGGCUGAACUACGUGCCAGCAGCCGCGGUAAGACGUAGGACGCAAGCGUUAUCCGGAUUUACUGGGCGUAAAGCGUCUGUAGGCGGAAUGGUAAGUUGGACGUGAAAGCUCCGGGCGCAACCCGGAGAGGUCGUUCAAUACUGCCAAACUAGAGGGCAUCAGAGGAGCGUGGAAUUUCCGGUGUAGCGGUAAAAUGCGCAGAUAUCGGAAGGAACACCAAUGGCGAAGGCAGCGCUCUGGGAUGAACCUGACGCUAAGAGACGAAAGCUAGGGGAGCGAACAGGAUUAGAUACCCCCGUAGUC
rnacentral:rRNA from 1 species